UACGUAGGGUGCGAGCGUUAAUCGGAAUUACUGGGCGUAAAGCGUGCGCAGGCGGGCUUUUAAGCCAGACGUGAAAUCCCCAGGCUUAACCUGGGAACUGCGUCUGAUACUGGAUGGCUUGAAUUCGGGAGAGGGAUGCAGAAUUCCAGGUGUAGCGGUGAAAUGCGUAGAUAUCUGGAGGAAUACCGGUGGCGAAGGCGGCAUCCUGGACCGAGAUUGACGCUGAUGAGCGAAAGCUAGGGGAGCAAACGGG
rnacentral:rRNA from 1 species